rnacentral:tRNA from 1 species
UCCUCGGUAGUAUAGUGGUGAGUAUCCCCGCCUGUCACGCGGGAGACCGGUGUUCGAUUCCCCGUCGGGGAG